AACGCACAUUGCGCCCGCCAGUAUUCUGGCGGGCAUGCCUGUUCGAGCGUCAUUUCAACCCUCAGGCUCCCCAGGAGCGUGGUGUUGGGGACCGGCCGCAACGCCCCGGCGCCGCUGGCGCGCGGUGGCACGCCGCCCCCGAAAUGAAUUGGCGGCCUCGUCGCGGCCUUCCCUUGCGCAGUAGCAUGAGACCACCUCGCAACCGGGAGCGCGGCGCGGCCACGGCCGUAAAACGCCCAACUUCUCAAGAGUUGACCUCGAAUCAGGUAGGAAUACCCGCUGAACUUAA
rnacentral:misc_RNA from 1 species